rnacentral:rRNA from 1 species
AAGGAUCAUUAUUGAAAUAAACCUGAUGGGUUGUUGCUGGUUCUCUAGGGAGCAUGUGCAUGCCUUGUCAUCUUUAUAUCUCCACCUGUGCACCUUUUGUAGACCUUCCAGGUCUAUGUUGCUCCAUUUACCCCAAUGUAUGUUAAUAGAAUGUUGUGUUUAUAAAAUCUAUACAACUUUCAGCAACGGAUCUCUUGGCUCUCGCAUCGAUGAAGAACGCAGCGAAAUGCGAUAAGUAAUGUGAAUUGCAGAAUUCAGUGAAUCAUCGAAUCUUUGAACGCACCUUGCGCUCCUUGGUAUUCCGAGGAGCAUGCCUGUUUGAGUGUCAUUAAUAUAUAUAUCAACCUUCUCUUGUUGGAGUGGUUUGGAUGUGGGGGUUUGCUGGCCUCUUAAAAGGUUCAGCUCCCUUGAAAUGCAUUAGCAGAACGGACCUGUUCAUUGGUGUGAUAACUAUCUACGCUAUUGAAUGUGAGGGGAUGUUCAGCUUUCUAACUGUCCUUGGACAAUUUAUCAUUUUAUGUGACCUCAAAUCAGGUAGGACUACCCGCUGAACUUAAGCAUAUCAAUAAGCGGAGGAAAAGAAACUAACAAGGAUUCCCCUAGUAACUGCGAGUGAAGCGGGAAAAGCUCAAAUUUAAAA